GGUCCUCGAAAGCCAGGGGCACACUCGCAGCUCCCGUCCUCCGGGGAGCAGGAACCUCCGUUCUCACAGCUGCAGGACACUGAACAGUUGGGGCCCCAGCGACCUGGAGGACACGUGCUAUCACAGCGGAUGCCUGUGGACCAGACACAGAGGCAGGAAUCUCAUGCUGAGAAGGAAAAGGCUGAGGACCUGAUGCUGACCAGAUGGGGAGUUUGUCUCCCAGGAUGAAAGGAAACCUCACACAGAUGACGAUGAUGAUGAUGACGAUGGGGGAGCCCCCACAUCUUGGCCAUGACUGCUUAGUUAUGUAUACCUCUCCCCUUCUAACCUGAACCUCAUGUCAAGACUCCAGGAUAGGCAAGGUGGUGGGAGUGGAGUGUCACUGGGCUUGUGGCCAUACGCCAUAUUGAACACAUCUCCUUUUCUACUUUCACUAUCACCUGUCCCUUGAGGACAGGUGGCAGAGACUAGCUGUUAGAACUACCAAGGGCCCACACCCUGACAACUCCAGGGAUGGUCUCUUGUCUGGCUUCCCCCUCGUGCCUAUUUUUAAUUCUAUAUUGAAUCCUUUUCAAAAAUAGCUCCAUUUCUGAUUACCACAGACGGGCCCUGAAACUCUCUGCUGAGACCAAGAACACUGUUCUCUGCAGUGGAGGUCUCUGAGACAACACCUCCUGUUGCUAUGGAUGACAGUGCAAGGCUGUCCCUGCCAGCCCACUCUCUCUGUCUGCUUACACAGUACAUUCACUGCCUAAGAACAGUAGGACAUCAGAGGAUGUGCCCGUGUCUGAACCCAAAUGCACCGGUGCUUGUGUGUUCUGCUAUUCCAUCUAAGACACUGAGCACUUCUGGGAAGGAGGCACCUCUGCCCACAGGAUCUUGUGCCCGUCUUCCACAACAGGCUGCUUCCCUCUAUUCCACCAGGCCUCCUCAUUCUGCUCCAGGAGGCAGCUGUGGACUUCCUCCUCUAUGAGGCCUGUUAAUUACGGAUGCAGAGUGGGCUGCUUACAUUCUGAACCUGAUAUGAGAGUUGCUGAUGCACGGAACCCUCGAUGCUGCUCCUGACAGAUGGAAGCCUCUCCUGCCCGACUGGCUGGACCCAACCCUGGUGCCUUAUGUGUUCCAUAAAAUUUGUUUCAAACAUUG